AUUGAACGCUGGCGGCAGGCCUAACACAUGCAAGUCGAGCGGGGUUUUCGGACCUAGCGGCGGACGGGUGAGUAAUGCGUAGGAAGCUACCCGAUAGAGGGGGAUACCAGUUGGAAACGACUGUUAAUACCGCAUAAUGUCUACGGACCAAAGUGUGGGACCUUCGGACCACAUGCUAUCGGAUGCGCCUACGUGGGAUUAGCUAGUUGGUGAGGUAAUGGCUCACCAAGGCGACGAUCUCUAGCUGGUUUGAGAGGAUGAUCAGCCACACUGGAACUGAGACACGGUCCAGACUCCUACGGGAGGCAGCAGUGGGGAAUAUUGGACAAUGGGCGCAAGCCUGAUCCAGCCAUGCCGCGUGUGUGAAGAAGGCCUUCGGGUUGUAAAGCACUUUCAGCGAGGAGGAAGGGGUGUGUGUUAAUAGUACACACCUUUGACGUUACUCUCAGAAGAAGCACCGGCUAACUCUGUGCCAGCAGCCGCCGUAACAC
rnacentral:rRNA from 1 species